UUUCCUUUGUCCUCUUGCCAAAAAACUUUUUACGUACCGUACGGAAAAAGAACACCACACCUAUGAACCCUAGGCAUGGAGUCGUCGAUGAGUAAUAAUGGCCGAAAGCAUUUGAAGUGUCUGGAGCAGAGCUCAGGUUUCUUCCAGGGUUCAAACUAGGUCACAAAAUCACCCAAAUUUGCAGUGAAGUAAAUAUCUGGAAAUAAUUAUGGAAGAAACUGCUUACCACCAAAUGAGAUCAAACUCUGCCGUAGAUGAAAUAAAUCAAGUCAUGUGCAACUCAAACCAAUUUGAUAGAAAAUCGAAACCAACCACAAACCAGAGGAGUACAUGCGUAUACGAUCAAGAGAGAAGAGGUAAGAAUUGGCUUACAUGGCCAUCCAUGCACGGUUGUAAAAAGCCAAAUCGACAAUAUAAGCAGACAUAUAUAUUGAUCCUGAUCUAUAAAUAUAAACCCUUGCGUAAGCAUAUAGAAAGUAAAAGACACAUAGAGAUAAUUGCUAUAUGUAGUCAGAUUAGGACCAAGUAAUAGAUAUUUAUAAAAGCAUAUAAAUAUAUAUAUUGAUUUUCAUGAGCAAAUGUAUACGGAGUAGCUUUAUUCAAGAAUUUGAGUUUUAACAUAAUGUUUAAUUU